rnacentral:misc_RNA from 1 species
GGACCCGUGUCUGUCGGUAGAUCCCCCGUUUUUGUGCGGCCGACUACCGACGCCGUGUCCAGUCGUUCUUGUGGCUUUGUGUUACCGUUGCCUUUCAAGUGCUUGCGUGCUGGUACCCGAACUAAGGGAAUUGGUGCUACGUACAUGUUGCCUUGCGGUGGACGCCUUCGGGUGUGCUGCUGCGGCCAAAUGGCGCUUGCGGCGUUGCCUCGUUACGCUGCCACGUUUACGUGGUUGUUGUUAUCAAGGCAACCUCGCUCCCGCUGUUGGUCUCGGAUGUUGCCCACGAUGAAGUCUCAUGGCCCUUUUUGGUUGCCUAGACCCGACCCUAAGAAGCUCUCCGAAUUGAGAWCAACCGGAACAGGUGUUGCCUCUACGUAUUCCGCAGUUAGUGGUAUGAUACGCAACAUUUUGCGCCGAUCCUCAAAAAAGUAGGACGAGCUUGGCCCGCUCAAUUGUGACAACCGGCGCGGGGGCUGCUUCUGGCUUGACACGCAAGUGGACGGACGGAUGACUCCCGACGCUGGACGUCAACAAGGA